GAGUGGGUCACAGGCUCACAAGGCACUAGAAAAGAUUGUGCUUAACAAGAGAUGGCUGAAAGGUGUGCACAGAUAUCUGCCUUUCAGAUCUACCUGUCAACUGGAGUCCUUUCACAACCACAUUCUGAUGUAUGCAAGCAAACGUUUCAGUUUCUCGCCAUUGGUUUAUGAGGCACGUACUCUCCUGGCAGCACUUGACUACAACCAUCAUAAAAACAGACCGCCAAUGCUCAACAAAGAAGGCCAAUUGAUCUUGCGUCGACAAUACCAAAGAAAAUCUGGGAGAUGGACUUCUACACCAUUAAAGAAGAGAAGAACUACAGCUACAUCCCUGAUCUACAGGCAGCCAUUUUGAGAAAAAGACCUGAUUCUGACAGGGGCUGUCCAAGGCGGAGGAUUCUACGUCCUGAUGACCCUCGAACACUUGGACUACUUCCAAGUGUUCAACCUCCAGCUGUAGACACCAUUGUUGAGUCCCACGUCAGUAGAGGCCUAGGGCCCGGCACUACACAUCCAGAGAACAACUGAGCAAUUUGUUUUUUAGCAAAUUAUUUUUUUUUGAAGAGAAGACUUAUGCUCUAAAUGCAUUUUAUGUAUUUUUUUCCUAAACAUGACAUGUAAAUAAAUAUGACGCAAGUUUAUUUGUUCAAUUACAACACAAGUUUUUAUUUUUAUUGCAAAAAUUAAAUUACUUGUAAAUCAAAAUCACCUAUGUCUGCAGCUCUAGAUAUUGAUAAAGAAAUUGAGAAAAUAAAUAAACAUCAAACACAAAUGAAAACAACAACA